UCACUGCUUGCGCAGGCAGUCCUUCUAGAGUCCCCGGCAUGACCCGCUGGCAACUAAAAGUAGGGGUUGCGCUCGUUGCGGGACUUAACCCGACACCUCACGGCACGAGCUGACGACGGCCAUGCAGCACCUUGCUUUGUGUCCCGAAGGAAAGCCUGAUCUCUCAGGCGGUCACGCGCAUUCUAGCCUAGGUAAGGUUCCUCGCGUAUCAUCGAAUUAAACCACAUGCUCCACCACUUGUGCGGGCCCCCGUCAAUUUCUUUGAGUUUUAACCUUGCGGCCGUACUCCCCAGGCGGAUGACUUAACGCGUUAGCUGCGCCACCGAAACGCUAAGCGCCCCGACAGCUAGUCAUCAUCGUUUACGGCGUGGACUAC
rnacentral:misc_RNA from 1 species